GUGGUGGCUCAGCGGUAGAGUGCUCGCCUAGCAUGCAUGAAGCACUGGGUCCGAUCCUCGGCACCACA
rnacentral:tRNA from 1 species